GUGGAAUAUUAGCAUGUAAAAAAGACUUACUUGAAAGGUUGUGAAAUUUAAAUCAUUCAUUUUAUUGGCUUAAACAGAUCACUUUUUGUACUGAAGGAACACUUUGAGGGUGAAAAUGUGUUUUAAACAGUGCUUUUAAAUUAAAAAAAUGGCAAUCAGACAUUCUUUUUCCUCAAGACUUAUCACUAACGGCUUUUAGUACAACUACCUUUACCCCCUAGAAAAGAAAUGUUUUCAUGACAAAAUCUUUUCAGAAAAUGUGCUUCUUUUUUACUGACUUACCACUUAAUUAAUGACAUGGGAUCAGAACUAGUUACAUGGAAUAAAUUUACAAUCUUUAACUUUCAAAAUCUGAAAAACCAUCAAGUUUAAGUUUUGUCGCAUUUUUCAAUAGCACAGAACAACUAGAGUGGGGUGCUCAUUUUCGCCAUAUCUUUCCAUGUUUUCUUCAGUUUAUGUUCAGGUUUUUGUGUUUUUGAAGUAAACUGAUAUUUCUAUAUGAAGAUAACUUCAAAUGCAAAAUAUUCUUAGCUUGAAAACGUGUUUAUUUUGAGAAAAAUCAUCUGAAAAGUUGGUUUAAAGGGUGUUUAAAAUUUCUUGAUUUUUUUGUCAACGGGGGACACAUAUUCACCGUUUUUACACAUCUAUUUAAAACCAAAUAACUGCAGCUUUAAACAAUAUUUAUCAAAUAAAUUUCAUUAUAGAUGAAAGCGGACAUUUGAAAGGUGAAAAAAAAAAAUGAAAUUUAGGACAAUCAGUCAAAGAAUUACUAAGAAAUACUUCUAUGAAAUCUUUUUUUUUUAUUCAGGAAAUUUGCUUAAAAACAUUGUCCAUUUUUCAGACCUUUGCGGUAAGUGCCGACAUUUGGUCUCAUUUUCAAAAAUAAUCAUAUUUGUUAUAAAAUUAUAAUUUACCGGCAUAUUUCUUCCAUUUCAACCAUUCUUUGAAGUUUUUACACCUCAAAAUCAUAAAAUGGCGAAAUUGUGUCCACGGCGAAUAUGAGCGCCCCACUCUAAUAAUAACUCAAUUAUUCAUUUGAAAGUCUAUUUAAAGUCACCAAUCUAAUGUUGAGUUGCCUUUUUAGAUGUGUAUUUGUGAAUUUUUUUCAUUAGGUUGUUAGAAUAGCGCCCAUAACUCCUUAUCCUUUCAUUCAUGUAAGCUAUAUCAUUGAGUUUCACAG
rnacentral:lncRNA from 1 species